ACAGCAAGAAAGAAAGAAAGAAAGAAAGAAGAGACGGGAGGGACGGAGAUGUAUGGAGGUGCAUCGAUUGAUUUGAACAUUUUGUGCCGUCGUGCUUGAUCCUUGCAAAUUCUUUUUUUAUCAAUAGCACCCUUCUUUCCUC
rnacentral:ribozyme from 11 species